UCUCCGCUCUCGCUCUCCGUGAUUUAUUACUUGCCCUGCUGCUUCUGACAAACUAUUUGUAGGAAAAUGAGAUUUGGUCCGCGCUGGAUGGCUCCUCUGGGAGGCAGGCGUGGGGGUCGGGUGUCGGAGGCCCCGUGCGCCCCCCCACCCCCCACCAGAGCCCACGGCGCUCACGGAGCUCUUUAAGAUAAAUGAGCAAAAUUAAGAGACUCACUGGGGGAAGAAAACACUGGAUGGGAGCGAGCGAGAGCGGAUGGUACUUGGUUUCCUCCCAGAAAUGCAUCCACGUGCGCCCCACUGGGGCCUCCCCCAUCUGCUGCAGACUCCAGGGAACUUCCUCCCCUCAAAGACGAACUUCCAGCCCUGGAGCAUGUUUCUUCCUUUCCUGGGAUGUGGCGCUGAAAAGGGCAGAAACCUCUAGUAAGGCACAAGCAACAGAUUGGGGGUGGAGCAGCAGGUCUCUUUGGAGGUGGCCUGGAAGAAACCGGACAGAGAGGAUGGGAAGGGGAGAAACAGAAGAGUGUGACGAGAAGCAAGAAGGCAUCUCUUCCAUGCACUGACUAACUUCGUUGCAAGCGUGCUGCUUUCAUCUUUUGUGUACCUAAAGAUGCCUGCAGAACCACAUCCAACAUGGCUGAUACCUGGACCUUUGUGUAUCAAAUAGCUUGGGAGGGUCAUGACUGGGCCUGAGAAGAGGAGACAGUGGCUUGUGGAAUGAACUCAAUUUGUGCACUUUCCCAGGGCAUGGGGGAGGAAAUGACAGUGACUUGUUGCUUGGGAAAUGCUGAUGGGUGGCCUGGUAUCUUGGGAAUGUGCUCAGGCAACCAGGGGAUGUUGUUCCAACCUCUCCUUCUCCUCCUCAUUCCUGGGAUGGUACUUUGGACUCCUCUUCACUAUUCCCAGGCACAAAAGAGAAAUAUGACUCUGUCGUUUG
rnacentral:lncRNA from 1 species